AUGGAUUCUACCAGGGAAGCCGAAAGGCUCUCUGCUCUUCAGCCACCAUGCAAGACAAUUUCAGCCAUAGAACCUAUGGACACUGCCCUUUGGGCAAAGGACACAGAGGGAGCUGUCAUGCAUAAAGUUAUCAGCACUCAAGAUGAAAAACGGAAGCCCUUCCUCGAGGCAGUCCACCUGCCUGGCAAACAGUUGUUUUUUUAAGUAGGUUACUCUAAGUACCUGCCACCUGGCCCACAAUUUCCAAUACAAAGUGCAUUCCUCUGGCUGGAACAGCAAAGAAAGGCAAGGAAAACAAGUAUGACGAGAGGCUUCAGGUGCGUGUGGGCAGUGGGUAGGGGGUUGGAGAAGGCAAGCAAAGAGAUUUUAAACCUUAGUGGAUACCUUUACGGAUGACUUCAGCAUUUGAAAAUUAUAUAAACCCAGGGUGGGUGGGUUUUUGUUUGGGUGGUGGUUUUUUCUUCCUCAGAUGGUCUCAGGAGACAAAGACAUGGAGCAAAGGCAGAAAUUUGUCUGGACUGGGAUGUGAAUUGAAAAAAAAAUAAUAAUAACCCCGACUUCAUAUUUUGCUUUGAUGCUACAAUGCUGAAAUUUUACGCUUACCACCGUUGCCCGAGAACCUUUUCUGCCGUCCAUAGGUGCUAGGCCUCGGUAUGCAAAAUAAGGAACCCUUUCAACCUCAAAAUCCUUUCUGGGGCUCUUCCCUCCCCCUUUUCAGUUUUCCAGUUAGCAGUGGUGGGAGAGAGGCAAGGACAACCCUAGACACUUAAUUAGGUGAAUAAACCUGCUUAAUUAAUAGAAAGCUUGCCUCA
rnacentral:lncRNA from 1 species